GAUGAACGCUAGCUACAGGCUUAACACAUGCAAGUCGAGGGGCAGCAUUCAGUUUGCUUGCAAACUGGAGAUGGCGACCGGCGCACGGGUGAGUAACACGUAUCCAACCUGCCGAUAACUCGGGGAUAGCCUUUCGAAAGAAAGAUUAAUACCCGAUGGUAUAAUUAGACCGCAUGGUCUUAUUAUUAAAGAAUUUCGGUUAUCGAUGGGGAUGCGUUCCAUUAGGCAGUUGGUGAGGUAACGGCUCACCAAACCUUCGAUGGAUAGGGGUUCUGAGAGGAAGGUCCCCCACAUUGGAACUGAGACACGGUCCAAACUCCUACGGGAGGCAGCAGUGAGGAAUAUUGGUCAAUGGGCGCAGGCCUGAACCAGCCAAGUAGCGUGAAGGAUGACUGCCCUAUGGGUUGUAAACUUCUUUUAUAUGGGAAUAAAGUUUUCCACGUGUGGAAUUUUGUAUGUACCAUAUGAAUAAGGAUCGGCUAACUCCGUG
rnacentral:rRNA from 1 species